GGAGCAGCCUUAUGGCUCCCGACACUGUGGAUUGUGUUAAACCUGCCACUUGCCCAUCUGGAGUGUCCGCCCAUCUGGAGUGUCCGCCUCUCUCUUGGUCUCUUGCCAUCAGAUGCAGGGGCCAGUUUACAAACUAACACCAUCUGUCAGCUGGAAGCCGUUACCUUGACUGAAGAGAGGGACUGCUCCCUGAAGGCUCCCUUCAGCAGCAGCUUGGAAAUCCCGCCUUUCGAGUUUGAGAUUCCAAAAAUAAGUGAAUCGAAUCUAAAAAAGUGGAGAAAACCAUACAUGCACCCCCGUGCUCACUGCAGCACUGGUCACGCCAGCCAAGACAUGGAAGCAACCCAGGUGUCCAUCGACAGAGGACUGGAUAAAGAAGAUGUGGUACAUGUACACAGUGGAGUAUUACUCAGCCACAAAAACGCAUGGACAAUGCCAUUUGCAGCACUGCAGAUGGACCUAGAGAUUAUCAUACCGAGUGAAGCUUGUGAAGACAGUGAAGAUAAGAUUCAUGCGAUAUCAUUCACAUGUGGAAUCUAAGAAAAGGACAAAGUGAACUUACCUGGAGAACAGACAGAUUCAGACCUUGAAAACAGGCUUACGGUUACCCAGGUGGCCGGGGUGGGGACGGGCGGCAUGUAUACACGGUGUUAUGGAAUGACUGGCCAAUGGGGACCUCUACCCACUGUUCUGUGAGAAUCUAUUUGGGAAAAGAAUCUAAAAGAAUGGAUGUGUAUGUUUUACUGAAUCACUUUGUUGCACAGCAGAAAUUAUCACAACAUUGAAAUCAACAUUGACACUUUAAAAACGAAGAAGCGAAUGACUAGGAUCUCUCCCCACUGGGAGGCUGUGUCCUCAUCCUGUCUUUCAAGGCUGCCCCUGAGAGGCUGUAGUACACCUGCUGCCCUUUUGCAUUUUGAACUCACACAGCAGCCAAGCCACCUGUGAGCCACGCUCAAGAUAGUUCUUCCUGUCAACCGGGCCCAAAGGCUUCUCCAUAUGGUGGUAGCUGUGAAGUGACAGAAAGGCUCUGAUACAGUGGCAGUGGAUGCCAGGCAGCUCUGGGCCAUUUAUCCUGCACUCCCCUGUGACCCGUGAACAGUCUUGUGCUCAGUCUUGGACGUACUCCUUGGUCAUUGCUGGGCCAGACCGACCUUAUGACUCAUUGAGUUUGGCAGAAGCCAUCCAACAAAGCACUGUCUUGUCUGCACGGGCACGUAAUGUCCCAAGGUCAGAUGUUCCACCUCUGUUGGAGCACAGAAGCACAGCAAGAUGGGCCCCCGCACCCCAGAAAAAAGGAGCUGAAAAGAAGAGGCACAUCAGCAGCCACGGCUGACACAGAGACUACCAUCCGGGCUACUGCCAGGCGCGUGCGCAGUAUGCCGUCACCCUCCAGGGCCCUGCUGACCUCUGCCGGGGUCAUGCUGGUGAAUUCAAGAGCCGGGGGCCACUACGCUGUGUCCCUUAGAUCCUUAAGCGUGGCACCAAUCACUGCCCUCCACUUCACUCCUAGGUGUGAUACCGCUUUAUAAUCUCGAUAGGAACAGGCAGUUUGAGAGGUUUCCACUUGGCUUUUCGUGUCGUGACAGCUCUAACCCUAGGUCAGGGACCCAACACGAGCGUAACAUUAAUUGCCAAGAAUGUCAAUGCCAAUUAUUCAGGACAGGGAGAAUUACCCCCCGCAGGUCCACAGACUCGGUGAACCUUCUGUAAACUGGACCACGGGCCGGACCCCACUAAUCAUCGUGUCAGCACGUGCAGCCAGUCUGACAGGCAGGCCACGGUGACAGUCCUGGUGUCUGCGUAUCAGAGUCAGUUCAGUCCCUCAGUCUUCAAGACACGUGGCUCCUCGCUCUCCCCCGGGUGUAGCUGUCAGAGGAAAUGGCUAUUGGACACUUUGGACAAGAACUUCGGGAUUCAUUUCUACGUAGCCUUGUGGGAUCUGCAGGGUCCUUCUCGGUAAUUGGCCGUCUCUUCAGUUCCAUGUCCGAAAACAGGCUCAGGUCCACACUGGUUGUGGGGGUCCUGAUUUUUUUCAUCGGGCAACUGUCUUGAUUUUCCAGUCACCCAUCUCUGACUUUUUUCUGCUGGUAGUGUCCUCUUACUCUACCUCUAGGGAUGCCCAACGGGGGGACACCACUUCUGUAACUCUCCACAAGCUGGGCUCCCUGGGCUGCCACUCAGACCCCACUGGCCUUGUAACUGUGACUCGCUGGCGUCUGUCAGUUAGAUGCUGCUUCCUGGCCUCUCUGCCGUGGGCUCCUCUCACCGCCAGGGCUCUCACCCAGACACGUUCUGAAGUAGCCUCUGUCUCUGUCAGCACCUGCCUACAGAGACACCACUGAGAGUGACAGCGGUGACCCUUUCACCAGCUGUUUCGUUAAUUUUCGUGCGUCUGCUACUUGUGCCUUUAUGUAGAAUGUGGCCAUCUGGUGGGUCUUCAAGAGUAUGGGGUGUUUAAACCGAAGCAGGGAGCUCCCGUCGUGGCGCAGUGGUCAACGAACCCGACCAGGAACCGUGAGGUUGUGGGUUCCAUCCCUGGCCUCGCUCCGUGGGUUAAGGACCCCACGUUGCCGUGAGCUGUGGUGUAGGUCGCAGAUGUGGCUCGGAUCCCGCGUUGCUGUGGCUCUGGUGUAGGCCGGCAGCUACAGCUCCGAAUAGACCCCUAGCCUGGGAACCUCCAUGUGCCACAGGUGCAGCCCUAGAAAAAGACUAAAACACAAAAAGACCAAAAAAAAAAA
ensembl:lncRNA